GAUGAACGCUGGCGGCGUGCCUAAUACAUGCAAGUCGAGCGAACAGACGAGGAGCUUGCUCCUCUGACGUUAGCGGCGGACGGGUGAGUAACACGUGGAUAACCUACCUAUAAGACUGGGAUAACUUCGGGAAACCGGAGCUAAUACCGGAUAAUAUAUUGAACCGCAUGGUUCAAUAGUGAAAGACGGUUCUGCUGUCACUUAUAGAUGGAUCCGCGCCGCAUUAGCUAGUUGGUAAGGUAACGGCUUACCAGGGCAACGAUGCGUAGCCGACCUGAGAGGGUGGCAGGCGACGUUGGGACUGAGGUACGGCCCAGACUCCUACGGGGGGCAACAGUGGGGAAUAGUACACAAUGGGCGGAAGCGAGAUGCAACGACGCCGCGUGCUGGAUGACGGCCUACGGGUUGUAAACCGCUUUCGCCUGUGACGAAGCGUGAGUGACGGUAAUGGGUAAAGAAGCACCGGCUAACUACGUG
rnacentral:rRNA from 1 species